rnacentral:rRNA from 1 species
AGUCGAACGAUGAAGCCCAGCUUGCUGGGUGGAUUAGUGGCGAACGGGUGAGUAACACGUGAGUAACCUGCCCUUAACUCUGGGAUAAGCCUGGGAAACUGGGUCUAAUACCGGAUAGGAGCGUCCACCGCAUGGUGGGUGUUGGAAAGAUUUAUCGGUUUUGGAUGGACUCGCGGCCUAUCAGCUUGUUGGUGAGGUAAUGGCUCACCAAGGCGACGACGGGUAGCCGGCCUGAGAGGGUGACCGGCCACACUGGGACUGAGACACGGCCCAGACUCCUACGGGAGGCAGCAGUGGGGAAUAUUGCACAAUGGGCGCAAGCCUGAUGCAGCGACGCCGCGUGAGGGAUGACGGCCUUCGGGUUGUAAACCUCUUUCAGUAGGGAAGAAGCGAAAGUGACGGUACCUGCAGAAGAAGCACCGGCUAACUACGUGCCAGCA